rnacentral:rRNA from 1 species
GACGAACGCUGGCGGCGUGCUUAACACAUGCAAGUCGAACGGAAAGGCCCUGCUCUUGUGGGGUGCUCGAGUGUCGAACGGGUGAGUAACCCGUGAGUAACCUGCCCUUGACUUUGGGAUAACUUCAGGAAACUGGGGCUAAUACCGGAUAGGAGCUCCUGCUGCAUGGUGGGGGUUGGAAAGUGUCGGCGGUUGGGGAUGGACUCGCGGCUUAUCAGCUUGUUGGUGGGGUAGUGGCUUACCAAGGCUUUGACGGGUAGCCGGCCUGAGAGGGUGACCGGCCACAUUGGGACUGAGAUACGGCCCAGACUCCUACGGGAGGCAGCAGUGGGGAAUAUUGCACAAUGGGCGGAAGCCUGAUGCAGCAACGCCGCGUGCGGGAUGAAGGCCUUCGGGUUGUAAACAGCUUUCGCCUGUGACGAAGAGUGAGUGACGGUAAUGGGUAAAGAAGCACCGGCUAACUACGUG